GGGGUCGUUACGGAUUCGACAGGCAUUAUGAGGCUUGUUCUGCAACCCGAAUGGCGGCGUAACCGCUCAGUUUAAAUAUAACUGCAAAAAAUACAAACACUUACGCAUUAGCAGCUUAAUAACCUGCCUGCGUGACUGGUCACAGAUUGCUUGCGUUUGUUGAUUGGUCUUAAUUUAGCGAGCUACGUUAGAACUGAGUCAGGCUGUUCUAAAAGAGAUAAACUGACUCGCCUGCUGUCGGCUUGAGUUAUGUGCCGGCAACUGGUUAAAUCAAGACAUAACCUAUGGUUGUAGACGAAUAAGUUAGCAGGUGUUUGGACGUGGGUUCGACUCCCACCGGCUCCAUCA
rnacentral:tmRNA from 1 species